CUGCGGCAGUCUAACACAUGCAGUCGACGGUAACAGGUCUUCGGAUGCUGACGAGUGGCGGACGGGUGAGUAAUGCGUAGGAAUCUGUCUUUUAGUGGGGGACAACCCAGGGAAACUUGGGCUAAUACCGCAUGAGCCCUGAGGGGGAAAGCGGGGGAUCUUCGGACCUCGCGCUAAGAGAGGAGCCUACGUCCGAUUAGCUAGUUGGCGGGGUAAAGGCCCACCAAGGCGACGAUCGGUAGCUGGUCUGAGAGGACGACCAGCCACACUGGGACUGAGACACGGCCCAGACUCCUACGGGAGGCAGCAGUGGGGAAUUUUUCGCAAUGGGGGCAACCCUGACGAAGCAAUGCCGCGUGGAUGAAGAAGGCCUUCGGGUUGUAAAGUCCUUUCGUGGAGGACGAAAAGGCGGGUUCUAAUACAAUCUGCUGUUGACGUGAAUCCAAGAAGAAGCACCGGCUAACUCCGUGCCAGCAGCCGCGGUAAUACGGGGGGUGCAAGCGUUAAUCGGAAUCACUGGGCGUAAAGGGUGCGUAGGCGGUACGUUAGGUCUGUCGUGAAAUCCCCGGGCUCAACCUGGGAAUGGCGGUGGAAACUGGCGCGCUAGAGUAUGGGAGAGGUGGUGGAAUUCCAGGUGUAGCGGCGAAAUGCGUAGAAGAUCUGAAGGAACAUCAGUUGGCGAAGGCGCGACUGUCCUCAAUACUGACGCCUCAAGGCACUUAAGCCUGGGGGGAGCUAAACAUGGAAUAGAAUAGCCUGUUAGUCCACGCCCGUAAUCCAAUGAUAACUUGAAUGUCUUAGUUGCCUAGGCGUACUGAGAGAUCUGAAGCUACACGCGCUUCAAGAUAUAAGCGCUCGGCAGAAUACAGCCGCUAGAUCAGGUCAACCGAAGUGAAUCUUAGG
rnacentral:rRNA from 1 species